UUAUACGAUUAUAGAGUUCUUCCUGUCCUUACCUUUCAGAGUAUGUUCUUUCGCAUUGUUAAUUAACUGUUACAUUUCACUCUUGUGCAACUUCCUUCCUGGCAGUCUUGUGGUGAUAUUUAACAAGGCAGAGAGAAUUACGUUAGGAUCUACAAUUACCUGCAUAUGCUCAUUCCAAAAUCCAGGUUAAUUAUCUGGCAGAUUGCUAUCAAGAUAAUGCAAGACCCUCCUGAAAAAAGAAGCCAGUUUCUAGGCCAAAUAGAAAUUGCCUCUAUUAUUGUUACUAUUUUUCAAAACAAUGUAGUUCCUGACCCAUUCGUUUCUCUGUCCUCCCUUCCCUCUUUUCUCCAUUUUGCCGCCUUGCACUGACCUCAGUACCUGUGUCAUCUGGCUCCUGACCAUGGGUCUGACUUCAGGCUACUUCUAGGAAUGAUGCCUAAUUUUUGUCUUUCUCUCCCUAUGCAGCUCGCGUUCAGGUGGCCCAUGUCUGGGCCCUCUCAUCAUUAGUUCUCCAGUCUUGGAUUCCUAAAGUGCUGGCUCUGUCACCCACAGGACUUGAUGACAGCUGCUCAGAAGACCCUAACCCAGCAGGGUAUGUGUCCAUUUCUCUACUACAGAGCACUGGGAAGAUGACUGGCCCUAUACCUGAGGAUCUCUCUCAGGGAUUUUAGUUUCUCUUCUGGAACAUUCUGUGUCAGCAAGUCUCAGCUUGCCUCCUCUUGAACGGACUGAGGCCACUAGGAACAGUUUGGCUUUGUCCUCUUUUCUUCCCAUCAUGACAGUUUUAGGAUUGCCUCCUUCUGUUAUUUCUUCUUGCUUUCAUCAGUGUAGUCCUUCCAAAAUAGAAUCAGCAAAUUUGGGGGUGGUGGGGGGAGAGUGGAUGGAGAAGCAGAAGGGAAAGAUUUCUUGUUACACUUACUUGAAAGAGAAAAAUCGAGGACACCAGUACACAAAAUAAGGAAGUUACUGAGAUCUAUGUAUAGCCUUAACCCUGCCUCCCUAUGAAGCUUUUCUGUUUGUUUUGUUUUUGCUAUGUCUUAUAAUUAAGACUUUAAAAAAAACUUUCUGUUUUAUUUUAAAGAGAAAAAAACAGACAAAUCGAGAAGCAAACAAACCUAUAAAGCAACAACAAAACAACAAUAGCUAUAUGGUUUUCAGAACAAGAUGACAGGAACUUAACCAGGUUGUUCUAGUGCAUAUUGUUAUCUUCAAAAUAGUCAUCUUGUUACCAGAUUCUGGAAUGAAGCAAAACAGUAAAAUAGAGUAAAACACUGGAUUUCAAAAAUAAGACAUAAGAAAAUCCCCCACAGUUGCCACAUGCACCCUGCCAUCCUCCAAACAGAUGUCCAGACCACCAGCCCCAGGCCUGCAAAGUCAAUCAAACAACACCAGCAUCAAGCUAUUCCUUUCACCUUAGUUGCUCUCAUCUCACUCUGAACUCUCUGAAUCACCCAGUUGCUUCCUGGUGGCGGUCGUGGUAGUGGCGGUCGUGGUAGCGGCGGUCGUGGUAGCGGCGGUCGUGGUAGCGGGUGGCAGUAGAGUGGUCUUCUAGUUUCCCCGCCCGUGCAUCACAGGAAGGCAUGAUUUAUCUUCUUGCUGAGUCUUCCUGAUCCCAUGCUGGAACCUGGCUCCAGGGAAGGCAUCAGUAGACUUUGUUUUUAGAAAAUGUUUAGGGUUAUAGAACAUUGAAGAGAUAUUAAAGAACAUUCUUUUAUUUCUUCUCUACACACUCUAUGAGGUUUUAAGUACUCAUUUUGGAAUUCAAUAACUCUUGGAAGAAUAAAUUCAAUCUUGCAAACAUGUACAACAUUCCUAACCUGCUGAGCUACUGAGAGAUGUGCAAGGAAAUUAGUAAAAUCAGCAUUCCAAGCAGGUCCUUGCUCAUCUUGGCCCACAGUUUAUAUGUAAAGGCGUGUUACCAAAGUACCAAUUACAGGACACCUUCCAUCAUUCUGAUAAAAGGCACAAACAGUGCAAGUGUUCACUUUCUAGUUCAAUUUUUUUUUUUUUUUUUAGUUUACAAGAUCUAGUAUAAUUGAAUAAAACUACAGUAUCUAGAAGUUUCCAUUUGCCUAUCUCAUUUGCAGUUGCUUCUGUUCUGGGUUCCUAUGCUAGUCUAGACCAUUUGUCCAGAACCACAAAUUGGUUUUUAAAAGCUCUCUGUGGUUGAAGUACGAGAGCACAGUGGGAACUCUAUUAACUAUGUGUGUGGUUUCAUUUUUCUGCAGUUAAAUCCCUAAUGCUUUUAAAGGGUCAGCAAAUUUGAAGUCCUCCCUAAUGAUCUAGUAAUGGUUGAAAUAGUUUGUUGAAAAGGUUGUAAAUAUUUGUUGAUUGACUGUUGACAGAGCAAAAGGCUUUUACUCCUCCGCAGGGGCAGAGAGGAGCGGAAGAGAGGAAGCUUUUACACACCCAUUUCAAUUCAGCAGGUUUUAUUGCUUAUGCUUUGGGUUUUAGACAUACAUUUCAAAAGCAGACUUUUCAUUUCUUCAAAAACCAAAAAUUUAGGAAACGCAGUUUUAUGUUUAAGUUUCACUAUAUACCACAGGUAAAUGUAGAAAUGGUUACCGACUUGGACACAGCUAAGUACAGUUCUUCAUGAAUAACAACUCACUUUUAUUUUCAAUCCACUGGAAGGAGGUAGUGUAGGUGGAGCAGGCAGCUGUUGAUGUCAAGAGAUCUGAGCAUUACUAAGAGACUUGCCUGCGCAAAAAUAUCUUCCCUCUGGUAGUAUCAUAGAUACUGAAAGGCAGCCAGAUACUGGAGCUUCUCUUCUGGAGAAAGGCAUUGUCUACUCUUGAUGACAUUUGUUACUUGGGAAAAGUAACUGUUAAUAUGUUAGGAAAAUUGUGUUUGUGUGUGUGUGUGUAUGAGUGUGUGUGUGUGUGUGUGUGUGUGUGUGUACAUGUGAACUUUGCAUUUUGAUUUCAUGGUAGAUUUACAUGUAGUUGAAAAGCAUAACAUUGAAAGACUCCUUCUAUCUUCCGCUUAGUUUCUCCAUCUUUCAUAAUUGUAGUACAGCAUCCCAACCAGGAAGGUGGCAUGGAUAUAGUAUGAAAUCUUUAUUCAGAUUUACUCAGUUCUAUGUAUAGUGUGUCCUCUCUGUCUGUCUCCCUCUGCCUCUCCUUUCCUCUCUUUGCCUGGCAUUUUAAAGGUUGCCUUUCUCUUUUGUUUUUAAUAGAUCAUCCCCUCUGUGCCCUGUCCAACAAAUUCAUUUUGGUCAAUGUUAUGUUUAACUCAGUGCUUUAAAAAAGCUUUUCCAUAGACCCCUUUUUGGUUGCUGUGGUCUGAAUGCUGGUGUUCCUUACAAAUGCAUACUCCCUACUGUGAUAGCAUGAAGAUGGAGACAACCUUUUUGGAGCUCUGUGCUUGCCAUACCCUGGUCUUUUUCAUGCCUCUCUUUCAAACUGUAUAGCAGAUGACCUUAGAUUUUUGAUCAUCUACUUAGAGACUUAAGAGUAAGAUAAUCCAUUACUUUUAAAACCCAGUACAACUCGACAGUAUUACAUUAGAGCAGUAAAAUCUUGUGGCAGAUUAUCGUUUCCCAAAAUGGCCAUAGCAGCACAUCUCUUAUUACAUGCUUUUUCAGAACUAGGCUACUUUACACCAAGAGAUAGAAUUUAUUUUCCUUCUGCUUGCUGGGCUUGUGACUUCUCCAUCCAGCAGAGGGUCCCAGAAGUGGUGUUGUGUGACUGGAGGCUAGGUCACAGAGAGGCUACAGCUUCCGCUGGGCUCUCGUCUGGAAUGCAGCCACAGCAUUUUGAAGAAGCCCAGGUCACAGAGACAGGCCACAUACAUAUGUUUCAGUCAGCAGCUCCAUUAGGUUCCCAGCUGAUGGCUCAUUUUCAUUGUGAGUGAAUGAGCCUUCAGAGGACGCCUGCUUCCAGCCUUCAAUUAUUUAGUGUCAGACAUCUUGGAACAGAUUCAAACCAUCCCCUCUGUGCCCUGUCCAACAAAUUCCUGACCUACAGAUACAAGAGCAUAAUAAAUGGUUGUUUACACUG